CAUGAAGACUCUAACCGAAUGCGCGCCGAAGGACGAAUUCACCCCUGCCAAUGCCAACAACCAUUUGAUCCAUCGCGCCAGAGUAGGAGACGGGACUGGUUUGAGAGGUCUGACAUAAGAAAUCAAUAACUGACCAGAACGAGAAGGGUGAAGGGGAGAGGUAAAUGCCACACAGCGAGAGAGAGCCUUCGCUACACAGAGCUAGG